ACAUAGAGGGAGAGGGGAGAGGGAGAGGGAGAGGAGAGGAGAGGAGAGCGCGCGAGCGAGCAUAAAGCCUAUGAUAUGCAGAGUAUGCAAUCAGGACUGCUGCAACUCCGCAUGGGGGGAGCCACACAACAGAUCAUACCCAUAGCAAAUCAACGCCGCUUUCCAUAUAGGAAAGGGAGAGUGUGUGAGAAAGAGGGAGCCACAGGAGGAAGAGAGAGAGAGAGAGAAUGUGUGAGAGAGGAGGGGAAGAGGGGAAACUGCAGAGAGCGUGAAGAAAAAAGUACGAUAGGAGCCCAGACCCGGUUUGGUUUUCGCUAGCUUCUUUUACCAGCCAAAGCCUGCUUGUCUUUCACUGCGUUGCGUAGCCUGUGCUUAACGUGUUGUUUUGAACUGUGCAGCUAGGAUCGCAGCCGCGGCCGGGGUGCAAGGCUGAGGGCAGAGGCACGGAACAUGAACAUGUGCAGGGGGAUCUAAAGUUGCUCUGCCUUAGGAAACAAGCUUGCCUUAACAAAGUACCGCGCCGCUGCCAGAGCCUUGCCUUUCCAAGUGCGGAUGCUUUCCUAUGUGAAUUCAUUGUGCUUUUUAAAAAAAAAAAAAUUUUCCAGGGCAUGAAGAGAACACCUCGUUGAAACCAUAUUUGGCAUCGUUCUUCAUUAAGUGAUCGCUUCUAUCAACCACGUUGUGAUGGGGGGAGGGAGGGGAAGAGGGAGGGGGGAGAAAGAGAGAGGGAAUUCCCCUUCAGUGGUGUGAUGAGACUGGCAGCCUUUUGAAACAAAGUCCUGCUCACUCUUUUGUAUGCGAAGUCCAGCUGUUGGGCAGUUUGGUUUGGUUUGGUUUGCAUGUUCAUUUGGAGGCGAUCACUCGGUCUCGCGUGUGCACUGUCCGUAUGUGGGUCUGUUUCUAGAGCUUGUUAUGUAUCUGCGUUGUGUUUGUGGGGUGUAUGCUCAAGUAUUAACUCGGUAAUGCCUUCUAAUGGUAGUGCUAAUUAUAGUAGGGUUAUUUAGCAAAUUAAGUGAGACUGUGCACCCCCCUUGAGCACCAAAUGAACUUUUCCAAACACGCGCGCACGCACGCACGCACACACACACACACACACAUACACACACACGCACGCACGCACACGUUAAUUUUGGUAUGUUUCUCUUGCCCAAUCACUUUGCUGGAACUAAAACAUGCCUUACCUCAGAGCAGUCAAUUACCAAAGCUACCCGUGAUCAUCAAUCAUGGGGGAUGCUUGAAGUUUGGGGGAGGAGCGAUGGUCAAACUAUCGAUUGCUGCAGUUUUGUCCUACCCCCCCUCCCUUUCUCGUUCACGGUCCCCUGCACAUAAAAUCUAAAACAGACUAUCCCGUUAAUAGUGGGAUUUAUCAAUGAUUAUGUACCCAGUUGUGAAUGUGGCCUCAUGCAUAGAUGCCUUUUAAACAUACACCGCUCAAAAAAAAAAAAAAAAAAAAGUAUUUGAUCCAGCUAGGGCUUUUUAUUAUUAUUUUAAGAUUUUUGGAAAUUGGAAAAAAAAUGAAUCAAAGGGUAGUUAUAGAAAUUUGGCCAGAUUUUAAUGGGCAUACGGAAUGAGCUCCAGAGGUCAAUAAACCCCUCCAAAAUGAUGAAUGAUUGAGUACCUGUGAUGAUGAUAGUGAUUACCGGAGCAAUUAAACAGUUUGAUUAAAUGAGCCAUCAUAACAAUGAUGUCUGCGGGAAAUCAGCCCUCACAUAUAAAGAAAGAUAGUGUGGAGGGCUGACAACGCCAGUGGGCAUUCCUACGUGUUCUGAUAGUGUUGAGCCCUGCAGAGCAGACUAUUUACAAAUAUGAGGGCAAUAUGGAGAAAAGUCACUCAGAUACUUUUAGCCAGAGUUGCACCUUGCUUAAAAAUCGUCAGAAGCCGAAGAGCAGACCCGUUUUUUUCCUAGAGGAUCUCCUCCAAGAUUAAAGCUAGCCCUAAGAGCAACCGAUAUUCUGUGGCUGACUUUCACGGGACUGUAAAGAAAAGCCUCCCCUCCUCGCAGGCGCUGGCAGAGAUGGCCACGGGGGUUCCCCGCGCCCCACCGAGCAGCUGCUCCUGCCUGCUGAGCCCGGAGACCUCCAGAAAGCCCCUUAGCACGGCGAAGUCUGCGGCGAGGCAUGAUGGCCCGAGCCAGCGGGACACGAGCUUCGGCUGGCACAAAGGGAUCCCGCUUCAGACCUGGCCUGUUCCCUGGUCUAGUGGGGAGGCUGGAUGCUCUAUAGGAUGAUGCUACCUAUUAGUAUUACUAUUUUUCAGACUCAUCUCAAGUGGACUCCAGCAGCUCCUUGAAACACACCAGCCUGGGAACUUGAUCGGGUCUGGAUGGGCUAUGUAUUUUCACACAGUUUUCUAACUACUGAAGCCAAAAUAUUGCCUUCCUCAGGCCCCCUCCCCCCAGGAAUGUAGGUAAUGGGAUCAAAACGUCUGGGAUAUAUUUUCCCUCUUCUACAUUUCCUAGGGCACUGAGCAGUCCAAAGUUCUCCCAGCUUCCUGAAGCCAAAGGUAGCCCAUUACCUGUGAGCCCCACCUCUGAAUCAUUUCUGAGGAAAGCACGCAGUCUUCAGUGAAUGCACAUGGAAAACCUUGAAUUAACCUUUGCAGUAGAUUAAGUACCCCACUGACAUUAACUGAAUUCUUAUUGCCACUGGCCUGGCCUGUUUUAUUAUCACCCCUUCCAGAUCACCUAAGAGUAGGGAAACUUGCCCCAUCAAUUGCAAAUGAUAGAGAAAGAAACUGCACCUCCACUACAUUCAUUAUUAGAACAAAAUAAACAAAAGCUGUGAAACCUGCCUGUGUUCAGGGGGUAUGGGAGGGUUGAACUUUGCAAAUAGUUUUCUAUAAGUAGCUCACAUUUGCUGUGAUCUAUUGGUAUGAGUCAGGAACUGAGAGUUAUUGCAACCCUGUUCCCUCUAUUGGAUAAUUAAUACUGAUUCAUAGCUUUUUCUACCUACGACUGUGUGUUUCGUUUCCCUCUACAGGGUCCAUGGUUCACUGGUGUAUUGUUAUUCCCUGAAAGGUUUCAGCAAGAUGGUCCAAAAUAACAUCACAGUGUAAAGGACAGCCUUGCUACAAAAUGACCACCAUAAGAUGGAUGAAGAGGAAUGGCAAGAGACAAGAAAUCUCAAGACAUCACCACAUUCACCAGCAAUUUCAGUCUAAGGAAGUCUAGAUAGCUGUAGUCACUAUGUAUUACACCAAAACUGUACAUUUUAAAUAGUAAAUAAAUAAAUAAAUACAUA